rnacentral:rRNA from 1 species
UGCCUACGGGGCGCAGCAGUGAGGAAUAUUGGUCAAUGGGCGGAAGCCUGAACCAGCCAAGUCGCGUGAGGGAAUAAGGCCCUACGGGUCGUAAACCUCUUUUGCCGGGGAGCAAGGGCGGGGACGUGUCCCGGCCCGGAGAGUACCCGGAGAAAAAGCAUCGGCUAACUCCGUGCCAGCAGCCGCGGUAAUACGUAGGGGGCGAGCGUUAUCCGGAUUCACUGGGCGUAAAGGGAGCGCAGGCGGCACGGCAAGUCCGGUGUGAAAGCCCG